rnacentral:rRNA from 1 species
GAUGAACGCUGGCGGCGUGCCUAAUACAUGCAAGUCGAGCGAACAGACGAGGAGCUUGCGCCUCUGACGUUAGCGGCGGACGGGUGAGUAACACGUGGAUAACCUACCUAUAAGACUGGGAUAACUUCGGGAAACCGGAGCUAAUACCGGAUAAUAUAUUGAACCGCAUGGUUCAAUAGUUAAAGACGGUUUUGCUGUCACUUAUAGCUGGAUCCGCGCCGCAUUAGCUAGUUGGUAAGGUAACGGCUUACCAAGGCAACGAUGCGUAGCCGACCUGAGAGGGUGAUCGGCCACACUGGAACUGAGACACGGUCCAGACUCCUACGGGAGGCAGCAGUAGGGAAUCUUCCGCAAUGGGCGAAAGCUUGACGGAGCAACGCCGCGUGAGUGAUGAAGGUCUUCGGAUCGUAAAACUCUGUUAUUAGGGAAGAACAAAUGUGUAAGUAACUAUGCACGUCUUGACGGUACCUAAUCAGAAAGCCACGGCUAACUACGUG